GUCACUUUGGCCGAGUGGUUAAGGCGCGGGCCUGCUAUUGAACGCAUCACGUGAUUCAGCAGCAAGGGUAGCUCGUCUCUUCGGAGGCGCAGGUUCGAAUCCUGCAGGUGACG